GUACACGCUGUGACUAGCAUAUCAAUAAGCGGAGGAAAAGAAACUAACAAGGAUUCCCCUAGUAACGGCGAGUGAGGCGGGAAGAGCUCAAAUUUGAAAUCUUAAAGGGUUUCCCUUUACGAAUUGUAGUUUAAAGAAGUGUUUUCUGUUGAGGUUUUGGUAAAAGUUCUUUGGAAUAGGACAUCAUAGAGGGUGAGAAUCCCGUAUUUGACCUUUACUUUCAACUUUGUGAUACACUUUCAAAGAGUCGGAUUGUUUGGGAAUGCAGUCCAAAAUGGGUGGUAAAUUUCAUCUAAAGCUAAAUAUUGGCGAGAGACCGAUAGCGAACAAGUACCGUGAGGGAAAGAUGAAAAGAACUUUGAAAAGAGAGUUAAACAGUACGUGAAAUUGUCAAAAGGGAAGCGUUUGACACCAGUGUUGUUUUUCUGAAAAUCAAUUAAAGAACUGUUUAUGCUAAGCUGUUUAGACUUUAUCAGCUAACUGUUUAGUUUUGAGCUUUUCUUUAAUGCACUUUUCAGUUAACAAGUCAACAUCAAUUUCUUUUGCUGUAAAAAAGCUUGAGGAAGGUGGCUUGAGAUUCGUCUUAAGUGUUUAUAGCCUCUUGCCUAUGCAGUCGGAGAGAUUGAGGUCUGCAGCGUAGAUCCUUCGGGGCUAAAUGCAUUUGUGCUAAGUUAUAGCAUUUUAUAGACAACCUGUUGACUAUGAUUUGUCUUGUAGCUUACUCGCUUAUGUUAUUCUACCUACGCUUAGGAUGUUGAAGAUGUAGCACAUCAU
rnacentral:rRNA from 1 species